UACGGAGGGUACGAGCGUUGUCCGGAAUCACUGGGCGUAAAGGGCGCGUAGGCGGCAUGCCAAGCGUGUGGUGAAAGCCCGGGGCUCAACCCCGGGUCGGCCGUGCGGACUGGCGUGCUCGAGCACUGUAGGGGCGGGUGGAAUUCCGGGUGUAGCGGUGGAAUGCGUAGAGAUCCGGAAGAACACCGAUGGCGAAGGCAGUCCCCUGGGCCGGCACUGACGCUCAGGCGCGAAAGCGUGGGGAGCAAACAGG
rnacentral:rRNA from 1 species